rnacentral:rRNA from 1 species
AUUGAACGCUGGCGGCAGGCCUAACACAUGCAAGUCGAGCGGAUGAAGGGAGCUUGCUCCUGGAUUCAGCGGCGGACGGGUGAGUAAUGCCUAGGAAUCUGCCUGGUAGUUGGGGAUAACGUCCGUAAACGGGCGCUAAUACCGCAUACGUCCUGAGGGAGAAAGUGGGGGAUCUUCGGACCUCACGCUAUCAGAUGAGCCUAGGUCGGAUUAGCUAGUUGGUGGGGUAAAGGCCUACCAAGGCGACGAUCCGUAACUGGUCUGAGAGGAUGAUCAGUCACACUGGAACUGAGACACGGUCCAGACUCCUACGGGAGGCAGCAGUGGGGAAUCUUGGACAAUGGGCGAAAGCCUGAUCCAGCAAUGCCGCGUGUGUGAAGAAGGUCUUCGGAUUGUAAAGCACUGUAAGUUGGGAGGAAGGGAAGUAAGUUAAUACAUUGCUGUUUUGACGUUACCAACAGAAUAAGCACCGGCUAACUUCGUG